rnacentral:misc_RNA from 1 species
AUUUAACAAAGAAAUUGUCACUAGUACGUGUUGUGCUUUAAUUUAUUAUGAAAACAUUUAUCAUUUGAUUCAUGAAUUUUCUAGUCAUCAUUUUUCUUGUCUCAGUAAUGCAAUAAGUUUUCUAUUCAAAUUCUAAAUAUUGUAAUCUACAAUUAGCUGAGAUUGUGUUUCUCCACAGUUUACAAGUUGUCUUUCUUUCUAUUGUAGAAGGCCAUUCUUUAGCUUACUAGAACAAUUUCACUACACCUGUAUUUCAUAUAAAGUAAAAACCUUGUAGCAAAUCAAGAUGUUAUAUAUUUCUUAAAAGAUCUACUGCAGUAGAGAACAUGCACUGCACAUGGUGAAUUCUUGUGCCUAUGGCUCAUCUAGGAUCCAGAAAAUGAGUAGGUGGUUGUUGAUCAUUGAAAAGAAACAUGUUUAUAGACAUGGCUAACAACCAAUGUCUUAUGGAGCUCUCUUUUGCAUUCGCUUGCCUGCUUUUUCACAUGUACCAGUAAAUGUCUUCUAGUGCUGAAAGUCAUUCAUCCUUUCAAAACUCAUAAAAUGAAUAUAGGAUUAAGUUUCCAUUUCCUAUUUUCUGUUUUCAAUUCUUGUGUGAACUAUUUUGCUUGUUGGGUGGUUUGAUUUUAUUCUACUCGGAAUUUUGAAAUUAUGUAUUGAUAGGCAGAGAGUG